GAGGUGGAGGGGGUGCCGGACCCAGGAGGGGGGAUUAUCAGUGUUUAAACAGACCACAUCAUGCGUGAAUACAAGCUAGUGGUUCUUGGUUCAGGAGGCGUUGGGAAGUCUGCUCUGACAGUUCAGUUUGUUCAGGGAAUUUUUGUUGAAAAAUAUGACCCAACGAUAGAAGAUUCCUACAGAAAGCAAGUUGAAGUAGAUUGCCAACAGUGUAUGCUUGAAAUCCUGGAUACAGCAGAGACAGAGCAAUUUACAGCAUGAGAGAUUUGUAUAUGAAGAAUGGCCAAGGGUUUGCACUAGUAUAUUCUAUCACAGCUCAGUCCACAUUUAACGACUUACAGGACCUGAGAGAACAGAUUUUACGGGUUAAGGACACAGAAGAUGUUCCAAUGAUUUUGGUUGGCAAUAAAUGUGACCUGGAAGAUGAGCAAGUAGUUGACAAAGAACAGGGCCAGAAUUUAGCAAGACAGUGGUGUAACUGUGCCUUUUUAGAAUCUUCUGCAAAGUCAAAGAUCAACGUUAAUGAGAUAUUUUAUGACCUGGUCAGACAGAUAAAUAGAAAAACACCAGUGGAAAAGAAGAAGCCUAAAAAGAAAUCAUGUCUGCUGCUCUAGGCCCGUAGUCAGCAGCAGCUCUGAGCCAGAUUACAGAAAUGAAGAACUGUUGCCUAAUUGGAAAGUGCCAGCAUUCCAGUCUUCAAAAAAUAAAUCUGAAGAGGC